AGAUAUUUCCCUAUCUUAUUUGCGGACUCAAAGUUCUUUUGAUUCAUCCUUUUAAUUUUCCACUCUAUCUCUUGGUUAAUUAUUGUAGCAAAUUUAGCUUGUAGUAUUUUUAAGUUCUGUUUUAAACUCUCUUCACUAGGGUUAACAGUUAAUUUUCUUUCAUUUUCCAUAAUCUGUAUUAAAAUCUGCUCUUUCUUUUUUUCUUUUUCUUUUCUUAAUUGGGUAUUUUUCUGAAUCAAAAAACCCCUCAUGACCGCUUUUCCUGCGUCCCACACCAUCUCUAUGGAAGUUUCUCCAUUUAAAUUCCACCUAAAGUAUUCUUCAAUUGUUUCUAUAGCCUUAUUUACUAUCCUUUGAUCAUUGAAUAAAUAUUCAUUCAUUCUCCAUCUGGCUGUUUUAACCUCUCUACCUUUUAACUCCAUGGAAACCGCACUAUGAUCAGAUAAAGUUCGAGGCCAAAUUUCAGACUUAAUUAAAUUCUGUACCAAUUCCCUCGAGACCCAAAUACUGUCUAUCCUCCCCCAGCUCUGAUUCGGAUUUGAAAAAAAGUGAAUUGUUUUGCAGUAGGGUUUUUAAACCUCCAAACAUCCGUCAAUCCCAAAUUAUUUACCAUGUCGAAGAAAGAUCGUGGUAGUUUACCUUCUUUCCCAUCUUGUCUUUUUGUUAAUCUAUCCAUAUUCGGCGUCACCACCCCAUUAAAAUCUCCCAUCAAUAUCAUUUUCUGGUCCAUCCAUUCCAUUAGUAUAUUAUCUAAUUCCAAAAGAAAGCUGAUUUUUUCUCAUUCGGGCGUAUAUUCCAACCACAACUAUUUUUCUCCAUGAAACACCAUCUGUACCACCACUACUCUCCCAUGUUCAUCUUUAUACAGUAGUUGCGGGUCAUAUUUUUCCUUUAUAUAAAUUACUACCCCUCUUUUCUUAACCUUGUCGGAGGUCACAAAGUCCAAUCCCAAUCUCUUAUUACUUAAUACUCUCUUGUGUUUUCCUAUAACAUGCGUUUCUUGAAGACAAAUUAAAUCCCAAUUCUUUUUCAACAAUACAUGUGCAAUCUGAUUCCUCUUAUUUUUAUUGUUCAAACCAUUGACAUUCCAGCUUAUUGUUUUUAAAGCCAUCUAUUAAACUAUUCUAGCUAAUUUAACUAGAUUAAAUAGAGACUACUGUUCCUUGCUUUCCUCCUCUUGUUCUUCUCCUUCUCCUGUUAAGCUCUCCUCUUUUUCUUCUUCUUCACUCCCUUCACCCUCCUCGUCUCUCUGUCGUUCCUCCCUUUCCACCUCCCCUUCAACUUUUCCCAGGUCCUUCUCGUAUCUCCUCGCAAAUUUUUGGAGUUCAAAACUGGUGCUUAAUUUAAACCUUUUUUCCUUAAAGUAGAAUGAAAUGCCUUCGGGAAACUCCCAUCUAUACAAUAUCCCAUUCUUCUUCAAUUGGUUUGUUAAUUUUUUGUAUGGCUCUCUCCUUCGAAGAAAUCUCGAAGGAAUUUCUCUAAAGAUAAUAAUUGGGCUUCCUCCAAUAUAUAACCUUUUUAUGUGGUUCUGUUGCAGUAUUUCAUUUCUUAUUUCCAAAGUGUUGAACAUGACAAUUACAUCACCUGGCAGCUUUUUCUUUCUGGCUCUGUCUGAUUUUGGUCUUAUUCGAAAAAUAUUUACUAAAUGGCAGUUUACCUCCUCCUCGCUCUUAUUUAACCAAGUUGCCAGCUCUUUUAUCAUUUUAGAUCUAAUAUUCUCAUUUGGGGUCUCUGGUACACCCCUCAGUUUUAGGUUGGUUUGAUUUUGCCUCAUUUGCGUCAUAGCCAUAUUGUCCAACAACUCCUCCUGCACUCUUUCUAUCUCUUUAACUUCUACUCUAAUUCUAUCCACCUCCUUCUUACUAAUUUUCGUAUCUUUUUGCACCUUUUUCAUUGAAUCUUCCAAAACCUUAGUUCUUACUGAUAAAUCUUUAACCUUUCCUGUCAAUUCCCCCACCACUCCCUCCAAUUUCUUAUCCAAAGUGUCCUGUACCUCAAGUAAUUUUCUCUCAAUAUAUUGUUCAUUAUUUUUGAAUUCUUUCCUUAUUUCGGCCAUCAGACUGCUAUAGUCUUUAAUUUCUUUACUUUCCUUAGCAUCUUCUUGCCUCGACGACCUCCUUUCCGCUGGUGUUGCCACGCCUUUUUUUGCACCGUUUGUCAUUUUGUAGGCUUGAAAGGUCUUGGGGUCCACCACACUAAUGUUAUUCAAAAAGGGAUGAGGCACAGGAUCACCGAUAAUCUCUGAUGGGUUAAUAAGUUACCGGGUCUGGUGUUGGGGUAUAAUAGCAGAUAUUAGGCAUCACACAUCAGGCUAUACACAAAGUUUUACAAUCUUUACCUUUUACAGUCUUUGUCCUCUUAGAGGGUGGUAUUAUAGAGGUCUGGCGUCACCAAAAAUUUUUCUUUACUGGAGACUUGGCAGUUCUUCAGGAAGUGUUCUUUAUGCUGGUUUAAAUUCUCCUAUUUGGCUUUUGGCGCAUGUCCCUUUAAAUCUCAAAUACAUGCAGAGGCGUAGUAGAUCAAGGACAAGAUGGAAUGGCGGAUAGCAAAGCCAAGUUAGGUCUCGAAAUGGCUUCCUCCUCCCUUUUUAUACCCAUGGGGAAGUCACUAACAUAAAACCAACAUUAAGGUCUGGGAAGACCCAUGCUUUCUUCCACCCACUUCAAACAAAAAGUUGAUGUUAACAAUAACGUCCUCAAAAAACCUGUCAGUUAAAGCAUCAACCAAAUGCCCCAGAAACCUCCUUUCCUCCUCUCAAACCCGGUAAAGAGUCUCUCUAUCAAAAGAAGAAAACUCAGUAUUACCUUGCUUCCAACUCUUUGUACUUUGUACUUUGUAAAAUGUACUUUAUUAUCGAGGAUAUUCCUUCCCCUCGCUAGCGGUUACUUUCUUGCUCUUUCAUUCACGUCUGCCAGCUUUUCGCUUUACUCCUUUAUCAUUCUUACCGCCAGUAGUGAAUUCCUCCUUCCUUUGUCUUUAAUUACUUCUCCGCUGGGUACUUCAUUCAACUUCAUUCAACGUUCCUUUUGUUUUUACUUUGAUUGUUUUCCAGUGUUCUCCCUCCUCUGCUUUCAUCAAAGCUUUAGAACUAUUUCCCAGCUUUUCCUCUGUUGUUGGAGGUCCGCCGCUUUCACUCGGAGCCUGAGGCUUCACAGCAUGGAGUCUGAUUUUUCCCCUUCUCGCUGCGGCUCCAGCCUUGUUAAACGCCGGCAACACAGGCGAGCACACGCAGCCUUGCUGGGUGUUUUGACCAACAGGAUAUUCCACCUGUGGUUUAGGGGUUCACGGAGCCUUCGUGACCCCUCUAAGACCCCCACGCUGUUCGAGGCUCCUCAGACGAGUUGCCUCGCGCUCCUUCCCGUGGCCGCGGCGUCCCGGAAGC